rnacentral:rRNA from 1 species
UUCGCCCUUAGAGUUUGAUCCUGGCUCAGGAUAAACGCUGGCGGCGCACAUAAGACAUGCAAGUCGAACGGAAGUCGUUAUAAAAAGGAUUGAAGAUUUAUCUGAUUGAGAUUUUAUAACAAUGGCUUUAGUGGCGGACUGGUGAGUAACGCGUGAGCAACCUGCCUACUAGAGGGGAAUAACAGUGAGAAAUCAUUGCUAAUACCGCAUAUGCCAUGAACAUCACAUGAUGAAAAUGGAAAAAGAGUAAUCUGCUAGUAGAUGGGCUCGCGUCUGAUUAGAUAGUUGGUGGGGCAACGGCCUACCAAGUCGACGAUCAGUAGCCGGACUGAGAGGUUGAACGGCCACAUUGGGACUGAGAUACGGCCCAGACUCCUACGGGAGGCAGCAGUCGGGAAUAUUGCGCAAUGGAGGAAACUCUGACGCAGUGACGCCGCGUAUAGGAAGAAGGUUUUCGGAUUGUAAACUAUUGUCGUUAGGGAAGAUACAAGACAGUACCUAAGGAGGAAGCUCCGGCUAACUACGUGCCAGCAGCCGCGGUAAUACGUAGGGAGCAAGCGUUAUCCGGAUUUAUUGGGUGUAAAGGGUGCGUAGACGGGACAACAAGUUAGUUGUGAAAUCCCUCGGCUUAACUGAGGAACUGCAACUAAAACUAUUGUUCUUGAGUGUUGGAGAGGAAAGUGGAAUUCCUAGUGUAGCGGUGAAAUGCGUAGAUAUUAGGAGGAACACCGGUGGCGAAGGCGACUUUCUGGACAAUAACUGACGUUGAGGCACGAAAGUGUGGGGAGCAAACAGGAUUAGAUACCCUGGUAGUCCACACCGUAAACGAUGGAUACUAGGUGUAGGAAAUGAUUUCAUUUUCUGUGCCGUCGCAAACGCAAUAAGUAUCCCACCUGGGGAGUACGGCCGC